CACGUAGGGCGCGAGCGUUGUCCGGAAUUAUUGGGCGUAAAGAGCUCGUAGGCGGCCUGUUGCGUCCGCUGUGAAAGCCCGGGGCUUAACCCCCGGGUCGGCAGUGGAUACGGGCAGGCUAGAGGUAGGUAGGGGAGAAUGGAAUUCCCGGUGUAGCGGUGAAAUGCGCAGAUAUCGGGAGGAACACCGGUGGCGAAGGCGGUUCUCUGGGCCGAUACUGACGCUGAGGAGCGAAAGCGUGGGGAGCGAAC
rnacentral:rRNA from 1 species